rnacentral:rRNA from 1 species
AGAGCGAACGCUGGCGGCAGGCCUAACACAUGCAAGUCGAGCGCCCCGCAAGGGGAGCGGCAGACGGGAGAGUAACACGUGGGAACGUACCCUUCAGUUCGGAACAACCCAGGGAAACUUGGGCUAAUACCGAAUACGUCCGUAAGGAGAAAGAUUUAUCGCUGAAGGAUCGGCCCGCGUCUGAUUAGCUUGUUGGUGAGGUAACGGCUCACCAAGGCGACGACGGGUAGCC